rnacentral:lncRNA from 10 species
CAGGGAGGUGGAGGUUGCAGUGAGCCUAGAUUGCACCAUUGCACUCCAGCCUGGGCAACAAGAGCAAAUAUCCAUCUCAAAAAAAAAAAAAAGAGAGAAGAAUACAAUACCUAUUUUUAAAAAUUUAUCACCUAGGAGAAACUGGGUAAAGUGUUACAGGCACUCUGUCUACUAUCUUUACAACUCUUUUGUAAACCUAAAAUUAUUUCAACAUAAACAUAACAACAAUAGCUGCUGCAACUAUUCCUAAAAAAAAAAAUCAUGUAAAUUAUAGGGCAGAGAGAAGAAGACAGUGUGUGGGGGGUGGGGAGGUGUUUAGGAAUAUUUUUCUCCAAUUACCUUGUUCCUUCCCAAAAGAGAUAUUGACCUAUAUUCUAGUACACUUUAUCCUGUCUUCUGCUAUAGCCAACCUGUUGAACUCAUCCAUUUAUUUUUUUCUUUCUUUUCUUUUUCUUUUUUUUUUUUGAGAUGGAGUUUCGCUCUUUCUCUCAGGCUGGAGUGCAGUGGCACAAUCUCAGCUCACUGCAACCUCCGCCUCCUGGGUUCAAGUGAUUCUCAUGCCUCAGUAGCUGGGAUUACAGGCACCCGCCACCAUGCCCGGCUAAUUUUUAUAUUUUUAGUAGAGACGGGGUUUCACCAUGUUGGCCAGGCUGGUCUUGAACACCUGACUUCAGGUGAUCAGCCCACCUCAGCCUCCCAAAGUGCUGGGCUUACAGGCAUGAGCCAUGGCGCCCAGCCUUAUCCAUUGAUUUCUUAAUUUCAGAUACCCUAUUUUUCAGUGUACAUUUGUGGAUUUUUUUGUUAUCAAAAAACCAUUUUUUUUUAGAUUCUAAUUCUCUGUUGAAAUUCUCCAUAUUAUGUGCAUCUUUUCCUCUAUUUUCUGAAUAUAUUAAUGAUAAUUAUUUAGAAGUCCUUGUCGUCUAACUCUGAUGUCUAUAUCAUCUGUGGAUCCACAUCUUAUGUUUUCUAUUUAUCAGUCAUAUAUUUUUGUCUUUUCACAUUGCGAUUUUUGACUGAAUGUUGGUAAAAUACACACAAAAGCACUAUUGAGGCUCCAUAAAAUAUUUAUUUUCCACCAGAGACAGUUUACACAGUCCUCUGCAAGACACAAAGUGUGGUUAAUCCCCUCAAUCCAGUCAGGAACUCCUAUGAGUCCAGGCUGUAUUACAUAUUUGGUGAGGUUCAGUUCAUCUCUGUUUGAGUCCAUUCCUAGGUUGUGACCCUACUCAGCUUACGGUUGAGGGCAUGGCCGACUGUGUCCUCAACACCAAGAGAAGCAUAAGAAUUUCCACUCUGCUUUUCAGAGACUUGUCAGUUUCUCUCUUUAGUUUUCCUCCCUGCAUAGCUUCAGACUUCAGCAGAUGUUAUGAGAGGGAAUCUGGCUACCUAUUUAAGACCCCUGGAUGGGUCUUGGUGGUUCAUGCCUGUAAUCCCAGCACUUUGGGAGGCUGAGGUGGGAGGAUCACUUGAGCCCAGGAGUUCAAGACCAGCUGGGCAACAUAGUGAGAUUCUGUCUCUAAAAAAAAUUUUUUUUUAAUUAGCUGGUUGUGGUGGCACCAGCUGGUAGUCCUAGCACUUUGGAAGGCUGAAGUGAGAGGAUCGCUUGAACCCAGGAGUUCGAGACCAGCCUGGGCAACAAAGCGAAACCCUGUCUCUACAAAAAGUAAAAAUAAUUAGCCAGGUGUGGUGAUGCAUGCCUAUGGGACCCAGCCACUCGAGAGGCUAAGGUGGGAGGAUCGCUUGAGCCCAGGACUUCAAAGUUGCACUGAGCUAUAAUCAAGCCACUGCACUCCAGCUGGGGUGAAAGAAUGAGACCCUAUUUCUUAGGAAAAAAAAAAAGAGAGAGAGAGAGAAAGAAAGAGUGAGAGAAAGAGACCCUUCAAGUAUCCCAUUUUGUGUUUCCAGUCCCCGUGUGACCGUCAGAAGCUCUGCUGGCUUCUCUGCCUAGCAGCAAUGCCUUCUGUGUAGGACAAACCCAGAUUAUCAAUCUCGAGUCUUAUCUAGAGUUAGAAAAUGCUCCUGGGGAAAAGGAGCUGCAGAUCUUCAUUCAUCUCGGAAAGGUGAACCCUUCCCUGUAAUGUCAGUCUCUCUUAUGAACUUCUGCAGCUCUCUGAUGCUUUCAUAAAUAUCAUUUUUGCAGUUUACCUGGCUUUUUUAGAUGUUCCCAGAAGAACUAUUGGCUUGCUGUGAACUAUUUUGUCCUAUUCAGAAAUACUCUCAAGAUAUAUUCUGAUGGAUUGAAUAUAUUAUCAUAGGUUUUGUUGGAACAAAAUCUCUUGAGAAAUCAUUUUUUCCUUUAUCUCUUCCUCUUCCCCCCACCCCCAGCCCUCUAGAUGUGGGUAUAGAGAAAGAAGCACCUUGGGUCAAUUCCAGAUCUCCUGCUCACCUAGUGUAUGGGAUUAGAGCAUUUAUUUAAACUCUCUGCCUCUCAGUUUGAUCUGAAAAUGAGGAUCCUGUGAAAAUUAAGUGAGCCACCGCACCUGGCCAGCUUAGUGGUUUAAAGGUAGUUUCUCUACUGAUGACUAGAAAGGUGGUCAAUGUGUCCAGUCUUAGGGGUAAAAGGAGAUAAAGCAAGGUCUUUACUCACAGCAUGUGGCCCUUGGAAAUGACAACUUCAGGAUAUGGAGAGGCUAAGAGUAAUUUAGAAGCGGUAAUGGAGCUUCCCAGGGCCAGGCGGGGUCCACGCUCAUAGCUAUCUGGAGGUGGAAGACACUCAUGGGACAGAGCUACUCAAAUCUGUCACUCUUCAGUCGCUUUCCUCAGCCCCCUAGACAAGGCACUUAGACGCACGGUUUCAUUUAAACUCUAAGCAGAAGCAGUGGUGUGCUGGACUUAGCUCAAACCAUCUUGGAUAUUGAGAGCUGAAUGUUGAAUUUUCAGGAAUUUUAUGAGCUGGUUGACUUCAUGUUGGUAACUUAAAAUCUGCGAUGGUGAGCUGGGUGCUGUGGCACGCACCUGUAAUCCCAGCUACUCAGGAGGCUGAGGUGGGAGGAUCACUUGAGCCCAGGAGUUCAAGACUAGCCUGGGCAACAUGGUGAGACCCCCAUCUCAAAAAAAAAAAAAAAAAA